rnacentral:rRNA from 1 species
GUGUCAGCAGCCGCGGUAAGACGAGCCACACGAACGUUAUUCGGAAUUACUGGGCUUAAAGGGUGCGUAGGCUGCGCGGAAAGUUGGGUGUGAAAUCCCUCGGCUCAACCGAGGAACUGCGCCCAAAACUGCCGUGCUCGAGGAAGAUAGAGGUAAGCGGAACUUACGGUGGAGCGGUGAAAUGCGUUGAUAUCGUAAGGAACACCUGUGGCGAAAGCGGCUUACUGGGUCUUUUCUGACGCUGAUGCACGAAAGCUAGGGGAGCAAACGGGAUUAGAUACCCUCGUAGUCC